UACGUAGGGGGCAAGCGUUGUCCGGAUUUAUUGGGCGUAAAGAGCGUGUAGGCGGUUUGGUAGGUCCGCUGUGAAAGCCCACGGCUCAACCGUGGAGGGUCAUUGGAAACUGGGGGACUUGAGUACAGAAGAGAAGAGUGGAAUUCCACGUGUAGCGGUGAAAUGCGUAGAGAUGUGGAGGAACACCAGUGGCGAAGGCGACUCUUUGGUCUGUAACUGACGCUGAGGCGCGAAAGCGUGGGGAGCAAACAGG
rnacentral:rRNA from 1 species